rnacentral:rRNA from 1 species
UACGUAGGGUGCGAGCGUUGUCCGGAAUUAUUGGGCGUAAAGAGCUUGUAGGCGGUUUGUCGCGUCUGCUGUGAAAGCCCGGGGCUUAACCCCGGGUCUGCAGUGGGUACGGGCAGGCUAGAGUGUGGUAGGGGAGACUGGAAUUCCUGGUGUAGCGGUGGAAUGCGCAGAUAUCAGGAGGAACACUGAUGGCGAAGGCAGGUCUCUGGGCCACUACUGACGCUGAGAAGCGAAAGCGUGGGGAGCGAACAGGAUUAGAUACCUGGUAGUCAAGGC